CUCGCCGCGUUAUGGAAGCUGUCAAUAUCGAUCGUGUGCGCCACGCAAUCGAUAUGGGUAGAUUUCAUAGCGCCGCGCCGC
rnacentral:pre_miRNA from 1 species